rnacentral:rRNA from 1 species
GAUGAACGCUGGCGGCGUGCCUAAUACAUGCAAGUCGAGCGAACAGACGAGGAGCUUGCUCCUCUGACGUUAGCGGCGGACGGGUGAGUAACACGUGGAUAACCUACCUAUAAGACUGGGAUAACUUCGGGAAACCGGAGCUAAUACCGGAUAAUAUAAUGAACCGCAUGGUUCAAUAGUGAAAGACGGUUUUGCUGUCACUUAUAGAUGGAUCCGCGCCGCAUUAGCUAGUUGGUAAGGUAACGGCUUACCAAGGCAACGAUGCGUAGCCGACCUGAGAGGGUGAUCGGCCACACUGGAACUGAGACACGGUCCAGACUCCUACGGGAGGCAGCAGUAGGGAAUCUUCCGCAAUGGGCGAAAGCCUGACGGAGCAACGCCGCGUGAGUGAUGAAGGUCUUCGGAUCGUAAAACUCUGUUAUUAGGGAAGAACAAAUGUGUAAGUAACUAUGCACGUCUUGACGGUACCUAAUCAGAAAGCCACGGCUAACUACGUG